AGUGGAAUUUGAGGCCUCCCCAACCACCCACCAAAAAAGGAGGGUGAAAUGAAAGGAAUAAGAAAACCUCAGCAUUCUGUUCUCUGACAAAGAGUAAAAUGACAAGGAAUAUCGGCCUGAAUUCUCUUCCCCAAGAAGAAACCACACCAACGCAGGCAUUUGUCUUCUGUCCAUGGUGCUGAAGUUUAUUCACUUUCAAACCACUUUCAGUAACAGUUAGUGUAAGAUGUGAGAAGUGUUGACAGGAAGCUGCAGCUUGGAUGGGAUGAUCACAACUCCAUGACAACGAGAUGACACGAAUGCAGGAGAGACCCCAGCGGGCAGGAACCUCUUGCCGUCUGUCCCAAGGCCCAGCCCUCCUUGUGCUCCCUGGCUGUUAUCUUCGGUACUACAAAGAGAACACAGACAUAUCUGGCUUGGUGACCUGGCUGUCUUGGAAAAGUCAGCUUCAUCAAAUUCUUUACAAAAGGAAAAUACAGGGAAAGGGAUAAACCUCAUUGACUUGGAGAAAAUCAAGAGGCGUGAGCACAGCAUCAGAAAGCCCCCUGGCCCCAGACUGCACCCGCUUUCCUGGCCCUACCUUGAAAUCCAUCAGGUCUGCGUUGGACACGGCAUUGUACAUGGGAUUAGCUCUGGUCUGACCUGGGAGCUGGAAUGCCAGAAAAAGGAGGAAGCUCACGCUGAUGGUGGAGAAGGAGCUCAUGCUGGCGUCGUCAAGGAGCAAUCCACUGCUUGCUGCUCUGUCUCUCCCCUCUGGUUCCUCUCUGGUUCCCCUCUCUUGGCCUACGUCCGUCCCUGUCUCCCAGCUGCCCAGUGCCUCCUCUUUUUAUAGCCCCCCAGCUCUCCAAGCACGCAGGAGAGACAGAACCCUCCCCAUUCUGUCACUUGCAGCGAUAAAGCAGCCAAGUGAGAAGCCAGCAGGAGAUGCCCUUUUAAAGUUAUCAUCCCGCAGGGCUUGUCACAGCCCCUCUGCCUUGGGCAGCCCCAACAGCCCCCCAGACCCUCGGCUGCAAGAGCCGCAUUCUUGCUGAUUUGACUCAAGAGGCUUCCACUUCAAAGGUGUGAGAAGAGUAAAAAAGAGUUCUUGGUUAUCUCACCA